UGGGGAAUAUUGGGCAAUGGGGGAAACCCUGACCCAGCAACGCCGCGUGAAGGAAGAAGGUCUUCGGAUCGUAAACUUCUAUCCUUGGUGGAGAUAAUGACGGUAGCCGAGAAGGAAGCCCCGGCUAACUACGUGCCAGCAGCCGCGGUAAUACGUAGGGGGCAAGCGUUGUCCGGAAUGAUUGGGCGUAAAGGGCGCGUAGGCGGCCUGGUAAGUCUGGAGUGAAAGUCCUGCUUUUAAGGUGGGAAUUGCUUUGGAUACUGCUGGGCUUGAGUGCAGGAGAGGUAAGUGGAAUUCCCGGUGUAGCGGUGAAAUGCGUAGAGAUCGGGAGGAACACCGAGUGGCGAAGGCGACUUACGUGGACUGUAACUGACGCUGAGGCGCGAAAGUGUGGGGAGCA
rnacentral:rRNA from 1 species